rnacentral:rRNA from 1 species
UACGGAGGGUGCAAGCGUUAUCCGGAUUCACUGGGCUUAAAGGGCGCGUAGGCGGCUAGGUAAGUCAGUGGUGAAAUCUCCGGGCUUAACCCGGAAACUGCCAUUGAUACUAUCAGUCUUGAAUACCGUGGAGGUAAGCGGAAUAUGUCAUGUAGCGGUGAAAUGCUUAGAUAUGACAUAGAACACCAAUUGCGAAGGCAGCUUACUGGCCGAAUAUUGACACUGAGGCACGAAAGCGUGGGGAGCAAACAGG